AACAUGGAUGCUUGAGGUCUGUGCUCCAUCAGUUUAGGCACAACUAGAUGUGAAUCCAACUCAUCGCUUUAUCGGAUCAAUCAAGAACUUAUCAAAGAGCUUAGUGAACCAGCACCUGGCUCAAAAGAUCUUUUCUUCACUACAAAAUAUUCUCAGUCAUUACUCACACAAUGCAAGGCUUGCUUUUGGAAACAACAUUGGUCUUACUGGAGGAACCCUCAGUACAAUGCCAUUCGAUUUUUCAUGACAAUAGUUAUCAGUAUCUUGUUCGGUCUUAUAUUCUGGAACAAAGGAGAACAAGUAUCAAGACAACAAGACCUGAUGAAUCUUCUUGGAGCACUGAAUUCUGCCGUGCUUUUCCUUGGAGCAACCAAUGCUUCAGCUGUUCAGUCCGUUGUUGCAAUCGAGAGAACCGUCUUCUACCGUGAAAGAGCAGCUGGAAUGUACUCUGAAUUACCGUAUGCAUUCGC